GAUGAACGCUGGCGGCGUGCCUAAUACAUGCAAGUCGAGCGAACAGACGAGGAGCUUGCUCCUCUGACGUUAGCGGCGGACGGGUGAGUAACACGUGGAUAACCUACCUAUAAGACUGGGAUAACUUCGGGAAACCGGAGCUAAUACCGGAUAAUAUAUUGAACCGCAUGGUUCAAUAGUGAAAGACGGUUUUGCUGUCACUUAUAGAUGGAUCCGCGCCGCAUUAGCUAGUUGGUAAGGUAACGGCUUACCAAGGCAACGAUGCGUAGCCGACCUGAGAGGGUGAUCGGCCACACUGGAACUGAGACACGGUCCAGACUCCUACGGGAGGCAGCAGUAGGGAAUCUUCCGCAAUGGGCGAAAGCUUGACGGAGCAACGCCGCGUGAGUGAUGAAGAUCUUCGGAUCGUAAAACUCUGUUAUUAGGGAAGAACAAAUGUGUAAGUAACUAUGCACGUCUUAACGGUACCUAAUCAGAAAGCCACGGCUAACUACGUG
rnacentral:rRNA from 1 species